rnacentral:snRNA from 1 species
UGCGAUGACGAAAACGUGCGGAUCGGUGGUAACACUGAUCUGCCAGAGCAACGCUUUC